GAGGCAGCAGUAGGGAAUCUUCCGCAAUGGACGAAAGUCUGACGGAGCAACGCCGCGUGAGUGAUGAAGGUUUUCGGAUCGUAAAACUCUGUUGUUAGGGAAGAACAAGUACCGUUCGAAUAGGGCGGCACCUUGACGGUACCUAACCAGAAAGCCACGGCUAACUACGUGCCAGCAGCCGCGGUAAUACGUAGGUGGCAAGCGUUGUCCGGAAUUAUUGGGCGUAAAGCGCGCGCAGGCGGUUUCUUAAGUCUGAUGUGAAAGCCCCCGGCUCAACCGGGGAGGGUCAUUGGAAACUGGGGAACUUGAGUGCAGAAGAGGAGAGUGGAAUUCCACGUGUAGCGGUGAAAUGCGUAGAGAUGUGGAGGAACACCAGUGGCGAAGGCGACUCUCUGGUCUGUAACUGACGCUGAGGCGCGAAAGCGUGGGGAGCGAACAGGAUUAGAUACCCUGGUAGUCCACGCCGUAAACGAUGAGUGCUAAGUGUUAGAGGGUUUCCGCCCUUUAGUGCUGCAGCAAACGCAUUAAGCACUCCGCCUGGGGAGUACGGUCGCAAGACUGAAACUCAAAGGAAUUGACGGGGGCCCGCACAAGCGGUGGAGCAUGUGGUUUAAUUCGAAGCAACGCGAAGAACCUUACCAGGUCUUGACAUCCUCUGACAACCCUAGAGAUAGGGCUUCCCCUUCGGGGGCAGAAUGACAGGUGGUGCAUGGUUGUCGUCAGCUCGUGUCGUGAGAUG
rnacentral:rRNA from 1 species